rnacentral:rRNA from 1 species
AAAACAUGUCUUUUUGAUAAUAAUUUAAAGUCUAAUCUGCCCACUGAUUUAUUAAAGGGCUGCAGUAUAUUAACUGUACAAAGGUAGCAUAAUCAUUAGUUUUUUAAUUGAAAACUUGUAUGAAAGAUUUGAUGAAAUAUUAACUGUCUCUUAAUUAUUAAUAAAACUUUAUUUUUUAGUUAAAAAGCUAAAAUAAAUUUAAAAGACGAGAAGACCCUAUAGAGUUUUAUAUUUGAAUUUUAUUUUAAAUAUAUAUAUAAAUUAAUAUUAAUAAAAUUAAAUAUUAUAUUGGGGUGAUAGAAAAAUUUAAUUAACUUUUUUUAAAUAAUAAACAUAAAUAAGUGAAUAAAUGAUCCAUUUAUAAUGAUUACAAGAAAAAAUUACCUUAGGGAUAACAGCGUAAUAUUUUUUUUUAGUACAUAUAAAAAAAAAAGAUUGCGACCUCGAUGUUGGAUUAAGAUAAAAUUUAAAUGCAAAAGUUUAAAAUUUUGAUCUGUUCGAUCAUUAAAAUCUUACAUGAUC